rfam:Citrus sinensis cultivar Ridge Pineapple sweet orange scaffold00157_contig_12, whole genome shotgun sequence.
AUGUAUGUGAUGAUAUACUUGGAUUACCCUUCAUGAUAUAUUGGGUGAUGUAAGCCCAAGUUUCAGAUGCU